rnacentral:rRNA from 1 species
GAUGAACGCUGGCGGCGUGCUUAACACAUGCAAGUCGAACGGAAAGGCUCCUGCUUGCAUGGGUACUCGAUUGGCGAACGGGGGAGUAACACGUGGGUGAUCUGCACUGCACUUCGGGGUAAGCCUGGGAAACAGGGGCGAAAACCGGAUAGGACGAUGGGAUGGAUGCGGUUGUGGAAAGUUUUUCGGUGUGGGAUGAGCUCGCGGACGAUCAGCUUGUUGGUGGGGUAAUUGCCUACGAAGGCGUCGACGGGUAGCCGGCCGGAGAGCGGGUAUGGGCACAUUGGGACUGCGAGACGGCCCAGACUCCUACGGGAGGCAGCAGUGGGGAAUAUUGCACAAUGGGCGCGAGUCUGAUGCAGCGACGCCGCGUGGGUGAUGACGGCCUUCGGGUUGUAAACACCUUUCGCUAGAGACGAAGCGAAAGUGACGGUACCUGGAGAAGAAGCACCGGCUAACUACGUG